rnacentral:rRNA from 1 species
CAAUAGCGUAUAUUAAAGUUGUUGCAGUUAAAAAGCUCGUAGUUGGAUUUCUGGUCGGAAGCUCCUGUCCUCUGAUGAGCGUACAAGUGCGUCCUACCAUCCUUCUGUUAACCUUUAAGGCUUUCGCGACUUUCUAGGGGCUCAGAUAUUUUACCUUGAGAAAAUUAGAGUGUUUCAGGCAGGCUAGCGCCGGAAUACAUUAGCAUGGAAUAAUGGAAUAGGACUUUUGCCUCUUCUGUUGGUCAUGAGGCUCGAGUAAUGAUUAAUAGGGAUAGUUGGGGGCAUUAGUACUUAACUGUCAGAGGUGAAAUUCUCGGAUUUGUUAAAGACUAACUUAUGCGAAAGCAUUUGCCAAGGAUGUUUUCAUUAA